rnacentral:rRNA from 1 species
UACGAAGGGGGCAAGCGUUGCCCGGAAUUACUGGGCGUAAAGGGCACGUAGGCGGUUUGUUAAGUCAGGGGUGAAAUCCUGGAGCUCAACUCCAGAACUGCCUUUGAUACUGGCGAUCUCGAGUCCGGGAGAGGUGAGUGGAACUGCGAGUGUAGAGGUGAAAUUCGUAGAUAUUCGCAAGAACACCAGUGGCGAAGGCGGCUCACUGGCCCGGUACUGACGCUGAGGUGCGAAAGCGUGGGGAGCAAACAGG